rnacentral:lncRNA from 1 species
AACACAAAACUCCCUAGGUCAGCUGAUAGCUGUUAAAACAGAGAUUUGAACCCCAGAUUUCAAUCCCCAGAAGUCCUUGGUACUUCCCAGAAUUCCCUAUAAUCUCACCUGAGUCUCCACCUGGAUGAGAUCACAAUUUAUUAUUUAAAGGGCUCUCUGCCUCUCAAGAGCUCUCUUCCUCUACUCAGAUUGCAACAUGUAAGUAGGCUGUGAGUGGGCUAAUCAUGCCCUAGGCAUGUGGCUUAUUAUUUUGUAUCCUUGAUUUCUAAUAAUCUUUAAUAAACCUCAUAAAAUAUUAUACUUUUAUUACAAGAGACUAAUUUAAUUGUUACAUAGCUCAUGAAAACUUCAGGCCAGCGAAACCCAGAAAUAGACCCGUCAAAGAUACUUGCCUUCUAAUUAUUCAUUUAUGUUGUUGUUGUCUUAUCGAACAGAUAUGUCAGUAUCAUAUCAACCAAAACUAAGUAUUCCUGGAACCCAAGAGUGACAUCACAAAGAGCAGGACUACUGUGCGUUGCCAAGGAUAAUCAGAAAAUUUAAAAAUGAAGUCUUACAAAGAUUGUAGCUUCAAGAGAUUCAAGACCUUCCAGACUGGACCUCCAUCUACUCCUCACCAAUGAGAGAAGGAAAUUGUGGGGCAGAGGGAUAUUCCAGAAUGAGAAAGCUAUGGGCUUUGAGGAAACUUCCAUGUAAGAAGGCAGCUGAACUUUAAGAAAAUUGAAGAAGAAAGAGGAAUUCCUCAAGGUCACAAAGCCAAUGAGGAAUCAAAUUGGAUAUGCCUGAAAAAUAAUAAACAGCAGCAAGAAAAUUGAAGAAACUGGCA